AGAGUUUGAUCCUGGCUCAGAACGAACGCUGGCGGCAGGCCUAACACAUGCAAGUCGAGCGCGCCUUCGGGCGAGCGGCGGACGGGUUAGUAACGCGUGGGAACGUGCCCAGAUCUACGGAAUAGCCACUGGAAACGGUGAGUAAUACCGUAUACGCCCUUCGGGGGAAAGAUUUAUCGGAUUUGGAUCGGCCCGCGUUAGAUUAGGUAGUUGGUGGGGUAACGGCCUACCAAGCCUACGAUCUAUAGCUGGUUUUAGAGGAUGAUCAGCAACACUGGGACUGAGACACGGCCCAGACUCCUACGGGAGGCAGCAGUGGGGAAUCUUGGACAAUGGGGGCAACCCUGAUCCAGCCAUGCCGCGUGAGUGAAGAAGGCCCUAGGGUCGUAAAACUCUUUCGCCUGUGAUGAUAAUGACAGUAGCAGGUAAAGAAACCCCGGCUAACUCCGUGCCAGCAGCCGCGGUAAUACGGAGGGGGUUAGCGUUGUUCGGAAUUACUGGGCGUAAAGCGCACGUAGGCGGAUUAGAAAGUUAGAGGUGAAAUCCCGGGGCUCAACCCCGGAACUGCCUUUAAAACUACUAGUCUAGAGUUCGAGAGAGGUGAGUGGAAUUCCGAGUGUAGAGGUGAAAUUCGUAGAUAUUCGGAGGAACACCAGUGGCGAAGCGGCUCACUGGCUCGAUACUGACGCUGAGGUGCGAAAGUGUGGGGAGCAAACAGAUUAGAUACCCUGGUAGUCCACACCGUAACGAU
rnacentral:rRNA from 1 species